UUUGGCUCAGGACGAACGCUGGCGGCGUGCCUAACACAUGCUAGUCGAACGGAGUAAAGCCCUUCGGGACUUUACUUAGUGGCGAACGGGUGAGUAACGCGUGAGGAACCUGCCUUUCAGUGGGGGACAACAGUUGGAAACGACUGCUAAUACCGCAUGACGCUUCUUGGGGGCAUCCCUGAGAAGUCAAAGAUUUAUUGCUGAAAGAUGGCCUCGCGUCUGAUUAGCUAGUUGGCGGGGUAACGGCCCACCAAGGCGACGAUCAGUAGCCGGUCUGAGAGGAUGAACGGCCACAUUGGGACUGAGAUACGGCCCAGACUCCUACGGGAGGCAGCAGUGGGGAAUAUUGGGCAAUGGGGGAAACCCUGACCCAGCAACGCCGCGUGAAGGAAGAAGGCCUUCGGGUUGUAAACUUCUUUUAGCAGGGACGAAGGACGUGGCGGUACCUGCAGAAAAAGCAACGGCUAACUACGUGCCAGCAGCCGCGGUAAUACGUAGGUUGCAAGCGUUGUCCGGAAUUACUGGGUGUAAAGGGCGUGUAGGCGGAGCUGCAAGUCAGAUGUGAAAUCCCGGGGCUCAACCCCGGAACUGCAUUUGAAACUGUAGCCCUUGAGUAUCGGAGAGGCAAGCGGAAUUCCUAGUGUAGCGGUGAAAUGCGUAGAUAUUAGGAGGAACACCAGUGGCGAAGGCGGCUUGCUGGACGACAACUGACGCUGAGGCGCGAAAGCGAGGGGAGCAAACAGGAUUAGAUACCCUGGUAGUCCACGCUGUAAACGAUGAAUACUAGGUGUGGGAGGACUGACC
rnacentral:rRNA from 1 species